UUCUGAUCACCUGAAUAACCCGAGCGUUUUUGACUUGAAAAAAAGAAAAAAAAAAUCCUGUGUAAACGUUGCACGCAACGCGUGCGUUCAGUAUUGGGCCUGUGCCUUCGGGACAAAAGCGGGGCCCAAUGGAGGGGGUAGAGCUGGAUCUCUGCUGGGGGCAUGACAAAGAAUCAUCGUGCAAACGGUUCUUGCACGGCGCCGUUGCACAGCUAGCUAGCUCUAUGCAAAUGCGACGAAACGGGUUAAGCGAGGCACGAUUGAACAGAGUCUGCAGGAUCAGGAUCUGGGUCCGGAUGACGAGGAGCUCAGUUUGCGGAGAGAAGCUCUAUCGGUGUGACGCGAUUCUCUACCUACUUCACUUCACAUUUUCGGCUACAAACGGCGACAAAUAAGAAAAAAUAAGAAGAAGAAGAUGAAGAAGAAGAAGAAUAAGCGCGGACCUGGAAGAAAGCCCCCCCACCGCGUCAUGGCGCGAACGAAAAAAUGGCGGGAAAAGUCGACGCUGCGUGGGCGCAGGAUCGAUGAAGGGAGCAAAAUGGCGCCUCCCUCUCACCACCGCACAGACAACAUGCCGCGAUCGAUUCAGCGAUGUGUAAUUCCGGCAUGGCGACCAUCUACCUAUAGAUUCGCCUCGCCGCAGUCUAGCCUGAAGGCCCUCUAAUGCAACGGCUUGCAUUUCUCUCCGAAUUCCCACGGUACCUCAACCAUCAUCAUCCUCGUCGUCGUCCUGCUAAUGCCACGG